GGGUCGAUGGCGUAGCUGGUUAUCGCAUCUGUCUAACAUAGCUAUUGUACGAUGCAUGUUCACAGAAGGUCCUCAGUUCGAACCUGGGUCGACUCA
rnacentral:tRNA from 1 species